rfam:Microgenomates bacterium GW2011_GWC1_43_13 TV71_C0007, whole genome shotgun sequence.
GGACGCUUAGCUCAGUUGGUUAGAGCGCAUUCUUGACGUGAAUGAGGUCGGGGGUUCGAGCCCUCCAGCGUCCA